AACAGCGUAAUUUUUUUUUAGAGUUCGUAUUAAAAAAAGAGAUUGCGACCUCGAUGUUG
rnacentral:tRNA from 1 species